UACGUAGGGGGCAAGCGUUGUCCGGAAUCAUUGGGCGUAAAGCGCGUGUAGGCGGUUCGGUAAGUCCGCUGUGAAAGUCGGGGGCUCAACCCUCGAAAGCCGGUGGAUACUGUCAGGCUAGAGUACGGAAGAGGCGAGUGGAAUUCCUGGUGUAGCGGUGAAAUGCGCAGAUAUCAGGAGGAACACCCAUUGCGAAGGCAGCUCGCUGGGACGUUACUGACGCUGAGACGCGAAAGCGUGGGGAGCAAACAGG
rnacentral:rRNA from 1 species